GACCGGAUAGCAUAGUGGACGAAUGCACCCUUCCAAAGCGGGAGGUCUUAGCGGAUCCGGGAGUUCGAAUCUCCCUCCGGUCG
rnacentral:tRNA from 1 species